GUCCACGCCGUAAACGAUGUACACUAGACCGGUGCGGUUUUGACGCCGUAUCGGUCGUAGUAAAACGAUAAGUGUACCGCCUGGGGAGUACGGUCGCAAGGCUAAAACUCAAAUGAAUUGACGGGGGGCUCACACAAGCGGUGGAGCAUGUUGCUUAAUUCGAGGCAACGCGAAGAACCUUACCUAGGCUUGACAUGUGCGGAUUAACUCCGUGAAAGCGGAGCCACACCCUCUGGGUGGAACGUACACAGGUGCUGCAUGGCUGUCGU
rnacentral:rRNA from 1 species